GACGAACGCUGGCGGCGUGCCUAAUACAUGCAAGUUGAGCGCUGACGGUUGGAGCUUGUACCGUCAGGAUGAGCAGCGAACGGAUGGGUAACGCGUGGGGAAUCUGCCUCUUAUCGGGGGACGACAUCUGGAAACGACUGCUAAUACCGCAUAAAAACUUUAAACACAAGUUUUAAGUUUGAAAGAUGCCAUUCCCUCACUCAUAGGUGGUCCCGCGUUGUAUUAGCUAGCUGGUGAGGUAAAGGCUCACCCAGGCGAUGAUACAUAGCCGACCUGGAAGGGUGAUCGGCCAAAAUUGGACGGAGACACGGCCCAAACUCCCACGGGGGGCAGCAGGAGGGAAUCUUCGGCCAUGGACGAAAGUCUGACCGAGCAACGCCGCGUGAGUGAAGAAGGUUUUCGGAUCGUAAAACUCUGUUUGUAGAGAAAGAAGUGGGGGAGGGUGGAAAGCCCAUCAAGUGACGGUAACUAACCAGAAAGGGACGGCUAACUACGUG
rnacentral:rRNA from 1 species